UUGUGGGUGGAUUAGUGGCGAACGGGUGAGUAACACGUGAGUAACCUGCCCUUAACUCUGGGAUAAGCCUGGGAAACUGGGUCUAAUACCGGAUAUGACUCCUCAUCGCAUGGUGGGGGGUGGAAAGCUUUAUUGUGGUUUUGGAUGGACUCGCGGCCUAUCAGCUUGUUGGUGAGGUAAUGGCUCACCAAGGCGACGACGGGUAGCCGGCCUGAGAGGGUGACCGGCCACACUGGGACUGAGACACGGCCCAGACUCCUACGGGAGGCAGCAGUGGGGAAUAUUGCACAAUGGGCGAAAGCCUGAUGCAGCGACGCCGCGUGAGGGAUGACGGCCUUCGGGUUGUAAACCUCUUUCAGUAGGGAAGAAGCGAAAGUGACGGUACCUGCAGAAGAAGCGCCGGCUAACUACGUGCCAGCAGCCGCGGUAAUACGUAGGGCGCAAGCGUUAUCCGGAAUUAUUGGGCGUAAAGAGCUCGUAGGCGGUUUGUCGCGUCUGCCGUGAAAGUCCGGGGCUCAACUCCGGAUCUGCGGUGGGUACGGGCAGACUAGAGUGAUGUAGGGGAGACUGGAAUUCCUGGUGUAGCGGUGAAAUGCGCAGAUAUCAGGAGGAACACCGAUGGCGAAGGCAGGUCUCUGGGCAUUAACUGACGCUGAGGAGCGAAAGCAUGGGGAGCGAACAGGAUUAGAUACCCUGGUAGUCCAUGCCGUAAACGUUGGGCACUAGGUGUGGGGGACAUUCCACGUUUUCCGCGCCGUAGCUAACGCAUUAAGUGCCCCGCCUGGGGAGUACGGCCGCAAGGCUAAAACUCAAAGGAAUUGACGGGGGCCCGCACAAGCGGCGGAGCAUGCGGAUUAAUUCGAUGCAACGCGAAGAACCUUACCAAGGCUUGACAUGAACCGGAAAUACCUGGAAACAGGUGCCCCGCUUGCGGUCGGUUUACAGGUGGUGCAUGGUUGUCGUCAGCUCGUGUCGUGAGAUGUUGGGUUAAGUCCCGCAACGAGCGCAACCCUCGUUCUAUGUUGCCAGCGCGUUAUGGCGGGGACUCAUAGGAGACUGCCGGGGUCAACUCGGAGGAAGGUGGGGACGACGUCAAAUCAUCAUGCCCCUUAUGUCUUGGGCUUCACGCAUGCUACAAUGGCCGGUACAAAGGGUUGCGAUACUGUGAGGUGGAGCUAAUCCCAAAAAGCCGGUCUCAGUUCGGAUUGGGGUCUGCAACUCGACCCCAUGAAGUCGGAGUCGCUAGUAAUCGCAGAUCAGCAACGCUGCGGUGAAUACGUUCCCGGGCCUUGUACACACCGCCCGUCAAGUCACGAAAGUUGGUAACACCCGAAGCC
rnacentral:rRNA from 1 species